rnacentral:rRNA from 1 species
AGAGUUUGAUCUUGGCUCAGGACGAACGCUGGCGGCGUGCUUAACACAUGCAAGUCGAACGGGGUGUUUAUUUCGGUAAACACCAAGUGGCGAACGGGUGAGUAACGCGUAAGCAAUCUACCUUCAAGAUGGGGACAACACUUCGAAAGGGGUGCUAAUACCGAAUGAAUGUAAGAGAAUCGCAUGAUAAACUUACUAAAGGAGGCCUCUGACAUAAGCUUCCGCUUGAAGAUGAGCUUGCGUCUGAUUAGCUAGUUGGUGAGGGUAAAGGCCCACCAAGGCGACGAUCAGUAGCCGGUCUGAGAGGAUGAACGGCCACAUUGGGACUGAGACACGGCCCAGACUCCUACGGGAGGCAGCAGUGGGGAAUCUUCCGCAAUGGGCGAAAGCCUGACGGAGCAACGCCGCGUGAACGAUGAAGGUCUUAGGAUCGUAAAGUUCUGUUGUUAGGGACGAAGGAUAAGGAUUAUAAUACAGUCUUUGUUUGACGGUACCUAACGAGGAAGCCACGGCUAACUACGUGCCAGCAGCCGCGGUAAUACGUAGGCGGCAAGCGUUGUCCGGAAUUAUUGGGCGUAAAGGGAGCGCAGGCGGGAAACUAAGCGGAUCUUAAAAGUGCGGGGCUCAACCCCGUGAUGGGGUCCGAACUGGUUUUCUUGAGUGCAGGAGAGGAAAGCGGAAUUCCCAGUGUAGCGGUGAAAUGCGUAGAUAUUGGGAAGAACACCAGUGGCGAAGGCGGCUUUCUGGACUGUAACUGACGCUGAGGCUCGAAAGCUAGGGUAGCGAACGGGAUUAGAUACCCUGGUAGUC